UUUCAUCGAUCCAUCGCGGCCGGCAGCCAUGUCUCCGAUGAGGCCGCGCUCCUCCAGCGCGAGCUCGACGUCGCCGGUGGCGGGGAAGAAGGAGAAGACGGCGACGAAGCCAGCUGGUGGUGGUGCUCGCGAUCCGCCCAAGGGAAGGUCGUCGUCGUUCGCGUGCAGGGUGUGCGGCAAGAGGUUCCCGUCGCAGCAAGCCAUGGCCGGCCACGAGGAUCACUGCCGCCGCCACGAGGAUCACGUCCGCGAGGCAGCUGCUGCCACCGCCGCCGCAGUCGUCGUUGUCGCCACCGCCACCGCUUCCGGUGGUUGCUCUAACCGUGCAACUUGCGGUGCUCUUCUGGCGUCUUACACCUGUGCGACUCAGCUUCUUGCCGCUGCCGCCGUCGCAGAUUGGUCACAGGUGGCCGCCGGGAUCCCUCUUUCCAAAGAGCAGCUUGUUGUCGCCGUCGCCAUCGUCCUCGCCGACGACGGGUGAGCCGGCGAGUGCCACGGUUGAUGUGACGCUCCGGCUGGGCUCCGGUGGCAAGCGCGGGAACGAGAAGCCUCUGGUCGAGUCACUGAUGGUGCCGGCGGCAAGCCUACACGGUCACCGAGGAGAGCAGGGUCGCGAAGGCACGAGGGCGAGGGGGAUGGACGGCUGUGAUCAUGGUAGGAAGAAGGGGAAAGCCCAGAUGGACGGAUUGGAUCUAGAGCUGCAUCUUCACCGCUAGUUUAGUAAAGGGUUUAUUACCGGGAGCAGAUUACAAAAUUAGGGAUUUGUUAGACAGCUGCCUGCUGUUUUUUUUUUUUUUGCGCUUUUGUCAGCUGGAUUUGUGGCCAUGGGAUUUUUCUUCAAGAUUUGUGCACAAGCCAGCCCAAGGCGUGUCCUCCCUUCAGCCACAAACGAGCCCAAGCUACAGUUCAAAAACAUAAAUCCUCAUCUUCCAAUUUCUCCUGCAUGAAUGGGAGGAAAGCAAGAGAAGCUGUCGGUGAGAGAGAGAUCGAGAGAGGAUGCGGCGAAGCAAGAAGCAGCGACCUCGAUGUUGUCGGCGUCUUCUCCGCCGGUUGGAGCUCCUGGUUGUGGGCUUGUGGCGCAGCCAGGGCCAGGCAGCAGAGGUGUUUCUGUUGGAUCUCGCCGCUGAAGAGUUGAAUCUUGGACCAUCAAUGAACAACGAGGCCACAUCGAUCCCCAAGGUGAGUAUUCCCCAUGGAGAUUUAUGCGUUGAAAUUUAUCACAUCUGUUCAUGUGGGGGCUGCCGGAUUAAUGAAAAAUCCAUUAAGCAAAUAUGUUUGUGACUCACUAAAUUACACAAUGAUGAACAUUAACAUGUGUGUUUAUUGAACUACCGAAAAACGAUACGUGCCCCGGAAGGAACUACGAGCUUCCAUCUUCUGUACACAUCGGAGGGACCAUUUGGCUGGAUCCUACGAACCGUGCAAACCCUCCCUGCCAUUCACUGGUGGUAGUUGUAUGCGGAAUAGAAGGGAUCACUCUGUACUACCUGCAAUAAUCUCUAUAGGUAAACAUUGAAUUCAAAAAUAGCACCAGUUGAUCCAUGCCAGCAAAAAAAAAGGACCAUAUGAUGGGGAAAAAUAAUCAAGCUUGGUUUUUCUGGAGCUUUUCAACUCCUGCCUCACAUGUACGAGAGAGCAAAGAAAAAAAAUGCAUAGGGAAUAGAACUUGCAAUAGAACUACAGAAAUAAAAGGCUUUCCAAGCAAUCCAUGGUCCCACACAGCGCAUGACUGUAGAAAGGUUUGCAAAGUUCAGAAAAUAAAUGGUAAAAUGACCACCUAAUUUUGGUAUAUUCUGAAAAUUAGUCCAUAAAAAUAGUGUGUAUUGUACUUUUAAGUCCCUAGAUUAAAUUAGCAUGGGGUGGAACAAUUAAUUCUAUAAGUUAUGCCACUUGUACGUAAAAAAACUGUGCAUGAAAAAGAGCUAAAUUUUAGGACGAUUUUCAUAAUAAUGUGUAAAGCUUUUGGUUUAAUUUAGAGAAAGGUUACCAUAACUAUAAUGAUUUAAAAUAAUUCGUGCACCUAAUAUAAUUAAUAUGUUUUCAUAUACAUAGCUUGUAACAGGUUGAUUAGAGUCGUGUGAAUGCUAUACUAUAUACAAUAGUACUAGAGAAGUUAACAAGUCAUCCAUACAAAAAUAUUUUGUGAAACAGUUUCUACCGGUACCGAUGUAAACCCUUGAUGCCACUGUGAUCCUCCUUUUGUUGUUGGUAUAGGCCUAACCAACUGCAUGCUAACAAGUUAACAAGUAGUAUGCUCGAAAACUAUUUGUAUCAUAAUAGGCUUUACCUGCAUUGUCCGGUCAGUUUAUCGUAGACGGUGCCACAGGCCUUGCCGACGACCUAGGACGUGUGGAAGCUGAGGGUCUUGCCUAUGUCGAAGGCCUAGAAGAGGUAGAAGAGGUAGACGGUUGUUCCAGUAGGGGGUCCGCAAACCUGUGUCCUGUGGGACGGUGGACUUCUGAUGCACGCCUGCACGAUGCCCCCCGCAUAAUACGUUUGCAUUUCUGUCGCAUUCGGUCCAGAGCAGACAUCAUCUCCUCAAGGGACCCAGCUAUAUUGUCACGCAGCUUCUCCCACAGUGAGGUUGUGUCAGAAUAUAGUUCCUCCGCAAUAUCGCCCUACGAAAAUAAAUGUUACAAUGAUUACAGGUUGCGGUAAGAUUAUUGUUUCAUUAAAAAUUUAGUGGAUAAUAUGUUACCGUCAGGUGGGUAACUGGCGCUGACUGCAUAGGGUACAGCGUGUCCACGUCGGCUAUUUCAGGAAUAUAUGGAUCCUCUAUUGUCACAAGGCAUACGCGUGUUUAUGCGAUGUACCACCGCAUGUACAACGCGUACAUACGACGGUCGUACGGUCUGGAUUCGUUAAUAUAUCGAAUGUUGCCCUCGAACAUUGUUCGACCCAAGGGGUCAUCUUACCAACGAUAUUUCGCCACACGCUAGCAUCUCCCUUCCUCUUUUCUAACAAAAAAACUCAUCAUUAGGUGUUGAGUUAAGUAGUAUAAUUCGGACACACGGUAAUUAAUGGGAAUCCAAUUGAAUUUAACUUAUAAGUGUAUUUUUUUGGAGGGGGGGACUGUUUCACCAAGCAGGAGAGGCACUUCUUGGUAAAGGCUGAAUUGCCUCAUUACACGCUGUAGAUUGUACGCCUCAACGGCUAUAUCGUAGACAAGCAUCUUUUUCAUCAGCCAGUAAGACGAGUCACGCAAGUAGAGUAUACUGAGGUCGGCAGGGGCACGACGUUGUGUCUCCUCUUCCGUGUAUGGACACCACUGAACGUAUCCUCCUUAAGUAGAUCGAACGCCUCAGUGAAGUACUCGUACACGCUUCGAGCCUGAACGUUCGUCCACUGUGGUUGCAUGUUAUUAAAUAAAUAGUAAGAUUAUAGCUGUACGAACUAAAUGCAAAUGUACAAAAAAAAAUUUCUACGUACCGGUCCCUAGCACCAACGCAUGCCAUAAGUAGGCCUAUCAUCUGUAGUGUUACCAAAUAAGCUAGAAUAUGCCACAGUUCCAGGCACGUAUGGUCGUCCCAAUGGGAAGCGUUCUUAAGACCAUAGCAUGAACAACAACGGACAACCAGUAAACAUAGGUUGCUUAAAGCUUGUCUUUGUGCAUGCUUCACAUAGAUCUCGGUAAGUUGUAGCCAAAACUGCUGAUCCCCAACUCCACUAGGGAAAACUUUCUAUGUUGCCCUGCACAAUAAAUCUUGCUAUGGAAAUCAUUCUCGCAUCCACUAUGUAUCCGUGUCCACUUGUGAACAUAACCCAUCCAAAAAGCCAUAGAAGGUAAGCCUCCAAAUGCAAUUCCACAUGGUAAUUUUCUACGUCCUCUCUCGUGAAAGAAACCUACAAAGGUACACAGAAAAUUUCAAUAACAAAACAUAAUAUCAUCAAUGGAAGUUUUUUGUAUGAAUUAGUUUUUCCUCGAACUGGAUGAGCCAGUGUAACGUAGGGCCGCGCGCUUCAUCUUUAUAGAAAAGUCCUUUCAUGUCUCUAUCAUCCUCUGGAACAAUGUAAGCAUAUCUUCCAAUAAUAUCAUCCCUCCAUUCCACAGGUGGGUCGGGGAGGACAAUUGUCUGUCCUGCAAGUGGUAGCCCUAUAAGCAUGGAUACAUCUCGCAGUGUAAUUGCCAUCUCUCCACACGGGAGGUGGAAAGUGUGAGUCUCCGGCCUCCAUCUGUCGACCAAUGCAGUUAGAAGUCCCUUGUGUAUAAUCUAUCGGCGUGUGUCUCUAGAUGACACAUCUUCAUCUUCCUCGUCAGUGUCUUCCCUUUUAUUUGCUUUCCGUCGGCGUGCACUUUGUUGUCUUGCUACCAUGUAAUCGUAAUGCCCUCUAGCCUGCAACAUCCUAACAAAAAGAAGAAUGCCUGCAACAAGACAUCCUUGCAUAACGAGUUGUUGCGUCAGACAAAAUUUACAAUAAUUGCAGCAAAAAAAUUAACAAAAAUUCAUGUAAGUGUGUAAAAAAAUUAGUUACCUUGGUAACCAACGUUCGUCGACUCCCCACAUUGGGAAAGUCCGCGUUAUGAAGACCGACAUACCACUUGGACGACUGGAAGACAUUAGCCAUGCAUGGUGCCAUGCAUCGAUGUCUCUACUGAGUAACGGGUAGGAUUCUGGAAGACAUCAGCCAUGCACGGUGCACGGCAUCGAUGCACGGCACCGUGCACGGCUGAUGUCUUCCAGCUGUCCAAGUGGUAUGUCCAAGUGGUACAUCGCACAAACACAUGUACGUCUUGUGACAAUAGAGGAUCCAGAUAUUCCUGAAAUAGCCAACGUGGACACGCUGUACCCUAUGCAGUCAGCGCCAGUUACCCACCUGACGGGCGAUAUUGUGGAGGAACUAUAUUCUGACACAACCUCACUGUGGGAGAAGCUGCGUGACAAUAUAGCUGGGUCCCUCGAGGAGAUGAUGUCUGCUCUAGACCGAAUGCGACAGAAAUGCAAACGUAUUAUGCGGGGGCAUAGUACAGGCAUGCAUCAGAAGUCCACCGUCCCACAGGACACAGGUUUGCGGACCCCCUACCGGAACAACCGUCUACCUCUUCUAGGCCUUCCACAUCGGCAAGACCCUCAGCUUCCACACGUCCUGGACGUCGGCAAGGCCUGUGGCACCGUCUACGAUAAACCGAUCGGACAAUGCAGGUAAAGCCUAUUAUGAUACAAAUAGUUUUCGAGCAUACUACUUGUUAACUUGUUAGCACGCAAGUGGUUAGGCCUAUACCAACAAUAACAGGAGGAUCACAGUGGCAUCAAGGGUUCACAUCGGUACCGGGUAGAAACUGUUUCACAAAAUAUUUUUGCAUGGAUGACUUGUUAACUUCUCAUCUAGUACAACUGUAUAUAGUCUAGCAUUCACACUACUUUAAUCAACAUGUUACAAGCUAUGUAUAUGAAAAUAUAUGAAUUAUAUUAGAUGCACGAAUUGUUUUUAAUCAUUAUACUUAUGGUAACCUUUCUCUAAAUUAAACCAAAAGCUCUACGCAUUAUUAUGAAAAUCGUCCUAAAAUUUAGCUCAUUUCAUGCACAGUUUUUUUAAGUACAAGUGGCCUAACUUAUAGAAUUAAUUGUUCCGCCUAAUGCUAAUUUAAUCUAUGGACUUAAAAGUACAAUACACACUAUUUUUAUGGACUAAUUUUCAGAAUAUACUGAAAUUAGGUGGUCGUUUUACCAUACCAUUUAUUUUCUGAACUUUGCAAACCUUUCUACAGCCAUGCGCUGUGUGGGACAAUGGAUUGCUUGGAAAGCCUUUUAUUUCUAUAGUUCUAUUGCAAGUUCUAUUCCCUAUGCAUUUUUUUUCUUUGCUCUCUCAUAUAUGUGAGGCAGGAGUUGAAAAGCUCUAGAAAAACCAAGCUUAAUUAUUUGUUGUCCAUUAGAUGGUCCUAUUUUUUUUUCCGACAUGGAUCAACUGGUGCUAUUUUUAAAUUCAAUGUUCACCUAUAGAGAUUAUUGCAGGUAGUAUAGCAGUGAUCCCUUCUAUUCUGCGUGUAAGUACCUCCAGUGAAUGGCAGGGAGGGUUUGUGUGGUUCGCAGGAUCCAGCCAAAUGGUCCCUCUGAUGUGUACAGAAGAUGGAAGCUUACAGUUCUUUCCAGGGCACGUAGCGUUUUCCGGUAGUUCAAUAAACACGCAUGUUAAUGUUCAUCAUUUUGUAAUUUAGUUAGUCACAAACAUAUUUGCUUAAUUUUGCAGGUGUACCUUAAGUUAACAUGCUCAUGUUUCCAACGGGUAUGAACGAUCAGUGGUAUGGAGCUUCCACAUACAACACUGGGGAUCUACCAAAUGUCCAUAACUGAAAAUGUACAACCACAAGGACCAAGCUUUUUGGACAUGUUAGGCCAAGGAGAUUGGUUGUUCAGUCAAUCACCUAUCAUGCAACCACAAACAACAUGAAUGUACACUGCCGACCAAAUGAUAGGAUAUGCCGACAGCACACAGUCCUACAGAGAACCAUGUAGCUACGGUGGGGGUCGUCAACAGCACUACACGAGAUAGGACCGUCGCAUAUUGAUGAACCACCUCCAAUAACUCAGCUGACCCAAGACUACGGGCAUGUUGAUUUCAGCGGUGUUAAGGUGGCACAUAGGUCUGUCCGCGAGUGACAUUCACCUGAAAGAUUAUCUUUGUCAAGACGCAGACCUCCAGCUAGUGCUAGAAGAAAGGGAAAGAAAAAGGACACUAGCACAUCACGAAAUUUUGAUGAUGAGGCUAAUGAGUGGAACGAUUUUAUAUUUUGCUCUUUCGAACUAAUAUGUAAUGUUGUGUGUUCAAACUUUCUAAUGUGUCAGCUACAUUUCUAAAGAAAUAAAUUCGAAAUAUUUACCCGCUUUCCCUUCA